rnacentral:rRNA from 1 species
UAAGCUACCACCAAGGCGACGACGGGUAGCCGGCCUGAGAGGGUGACCGGCCACAUUGGGACUGCUGAAGACACGGCCCAGACUCCUACGGGAGGCAGCAGUGGGGAAUAUUGCACAAUGGGCGAAAGCCUGAUGCAGCAACGCCGCGUGAGGGAUGACGGCCUUCGGGUUGUAAACCUCUUUUAGUAGGGAAGAAGCGAAAGUGACGGUACCUGCAGAGGAUAGCACCGGCUAACUACGUGCCAGCAGCCGCGGUAAUACGUAGGGUGCAAGCGUUGUCCGGAAUUAUUGGGCGUAAAGAGCUCGUAGGCGGUUUGUCGCGUCUGCUGUGAAAACUGGGGCCUCAACCCCCAGCCUGCAGUGGGUACGGGCAGACUAGAGUGCGGUAGGGGAGAUUGGAAUUCCUGGUGUAGCGGUGGAAUGCGCAGAUAUCAGGAGGAACACCGAUGGCGAAGGCAGAUCUCUGGGCCGUAACUGACGCUGAGGAGCGAAAGCAUGGGGAGCGAACAGGAUUAGAUACCCUGGUAGUCCAUGCCGUAAACGUUGGGAACUAGAUGUAGGGUCCAUUCCACGGAUUCUGUGUCGCAGCUAACGCAUUAAGUUCCCCGCCUGGGGAGUACGGCCGCAAGGCUCCGUAUCAAAGGAAUUGACGGGGGCCCGCACAAGCGGCGGAGCAUGAUCGAUUAAUUCGAUGCAACGGAAGAACCUUACCAAGGCUUGACAUAUACCGGAAAGAUGCAGAAAUGUGUCCCCCGCAAGGUCGGUAUACAGGUGGUGCAUGGUUGUCGUCAGCUCGUGUCGUGAGAUGUUGGGUUAAGUCCCGCAACGAGCGCAACCCUCGUUCUAUGUUGCCAGCACGUAAUGGUGGGAACUCAUAGGAGAAUCGGGGGUCAACUCGGAGGAAGGUGAGGGAUGACGUCGUAUCAUCAUGCCCCUUAUGUCUUGGGCUUCACGCAUGCUACAAUGGCCGGUACAAAGGGCUGCAAUACCGCAAGGUGGAGCGAAUCCGGACUUA